rnacentral:lncRNA from 1 species
AUUUUAUUUUUUUAAUAGAGACAGGGUUUCACCAUGUUGCCCAAGCUGGUCUUGAACUCCUGGAUUCAAGUGAUCUACCUACCUUGGCCUCCCAAAGUGCUGGGAUUACAGACAUAAGCCACCACACCCAGCCAGUGGUUUGAGGUUUGAAUCACAACUCUGUCACAUAUUGUAAUGGACAUCUGGUGUUUUUCCCAGUCCCAGCACCCACUCUUUUCUGGAAGCAGCACCUUUCUUUUUCCUUGGGGAAUUACCCCUUUCCUAGUUUGUGCCAAUAAUCAAGAUUCGUGUCCUCCCCUGAAAAACAGUGUCAUGUGGCCCAAGUGAGGCCAAUCAGAUUCAACCUCACAAAUUCCAGUUGCGAGCCAGGCGAUCAGGAAGAGAUUGGAGCUGAUCAUCCCUCUGGCAUGUUCCUGAAGAAAUGGGCCCACUCAUGCCUGCCAUCUGGAUGCUGGAAAUUACUCUAUUUCUUAUUCUUCCCAUGAUCCAGUUGUUCACCUUUGAUUCUGUCUGCACUGUUUCAGCACCUCACUGAAACCCUCACGGAGCUUUAUGUCACCCGGUUCCGGGCACACUCCAAAAACGGUUUUAUCUCAUAGAAGCAAGGCUGCUGCCGCUGUGACAUCUGGGUUCCCUGGGGCUCCUGGUAUAACUACAAUGAUCCUUUGCUUGAGUUUGAUCUCCACCUGGACUUGAAUCUGUAAUGAGUCAUCAGCCAGAGUCUAUGUUUCCAUCUCAGGUGCGGUGGCUAACGCCUGUAAUCCCAGCACUUUCGGAGGCCGAGCUGGGUGGAUCACGACGUCAGGAGUUCAAGACCAGCCUGGCCAAGAUGGUGAAACCCCAUCUCUACUGAAAAUACAAAAAUUAGCCAGGCGCACUGGCACACGCCUGUAAUCCCAGCUACUCGGGAGGCUGAGGCAGGGAAUUGCUUGAACCAGGGAGGUGGAGGUUACAGUGAGCCCAGAUCAUGCCACUGCACUCCAGCCUGGGCAACGGAGCGAGACUCUGUCUCACAAAAAAUAAAUAAAUAAAAGAAAAGAAAAAUAAAUAAAUAAAAAAUAAAAUCUGUAAGUUGGCAUUUUCCUUUCUUCUUUGUAUCAGUGCCUGUGCUUUGAUGAACAGGAGAGAAUAAACAUUCGGUUUACAUAAAAUUUGUUAAUGUAUUUGGC